rnacentral:rRNA from 1 species
AUACGGGGGAUCCGAGCGUUAUCCGGAUUUAUUGGGUUUAAAGGGUGCGCAGGCGGCCAUUUAAGUCAGCGGUUAAAUCGUGGGGCUCAACCCCAUUCUGCCGUUGAUACUGGGUGGCUUGAUUGCGGUCGAGGUUGGCGGAAUGCGUUGUGUAGCGGUGAAAUGCAUAGAUAUGACGAAGAACACCGAUUGCGUAGGCAGCUGACCAGACCGCAAAUGACGCUCAUGCACGAAAGUGCGGGGAUCGAACAGGAUUAGAUACCCUGGUAGUCCGCACAGUAAACGAUGAAUACUUGUUUUCGGCGAUAUAAUGUCGGAGGCAAAGCGAAAGCGAUAAGUAUUCCACCUGGGGAGUACGCCGGCAACGGUGAAACUCAAAUGAAUUGGCGGGG